CCUGCACUUCUGUCAUAGUCCUGGCGAUAAUAUCUGCCGUUGGAUUUUCCCCCUUGAAGGCCAGCCUAAAUUGUAGUUGCCUUUGGAAUUCCUCUUGUUCCAAUCCAUCCGCCGAAUUUCUCUGUUCGGUGAUUGCACUGCCAUCGGUUCGGUAUUCUGCCAUGACCUCUGCAAUGAGAAUUGCUUUUGUUUUAUUGCUUGCUGCAAUACCUCUUGCUUCUAGUAGGUCUUUUAGCGUGGAUCUUUUCAGCUUAGAAUAAUCAAUCUCCAUCCGUACUCCAUUA